rnacentral:tRNA from 1 species
CUAAAGAAACGGGAAUCGAACCCGCGACAAAGAAAUCAAAGUUCUCCGUUUCCUUCUAAACUAUCCUAA